rnacentral:rRNA from 1 species
ACUUCUGUCUGUACUACACUAGGCGCGAAGCGUGGGAGCAAACNGAAUAGAUACCCUGGUAGUCCACGCCGUAAACGAUGAGUGCUAAGUGUUAGAGGGUUUCCGCCCUUUAGUGCUGAAGUUAACGCAUUAAGCACUCCGCCUGGGGAGUACGGCCGCAAGGCUGAAACUCAAAGGAAUUGACGGGGSCCCGCACAAGCGGUGGAGCAUGUGGUUUAAUUCGAAGCAACGCGAAGAACCUUACCAGGUCUUGACAUCCUCUGAAAACCCUAGAGAUAGGGCUUCUCCUUCGGGAGCAGAGUGACAGGUGGUGCAUGGUUGUCGUCAGCUCGUGUCGUGAGAUGUUGGGUUAAGUCCCGCAACGAGCGCAACCCUUGAUCUUAGUUGCCAUCAUUAAGUUGGGCACUCUAAGGUGACUGCCGGUGACAAACCGGAGGAAGGUGGGGAUGACGUCAAAUCAUCAUGCCCCUUAUGACCUGGGCUACACACGUGCUACAAUGGACGGUACAAAGAGCUGCAAGACCGCGAGGUGGAGCUAAUCUCAUAAACCGUUCUCAGUUCGGAUUG